UAAUGCCUAGGAAUCUCCCUGGUAGUGGGGGAUAACGUUCGGAAACGGACGCUAAUACCGCAUACGUCCUACGGGAGAAAGCAGGGGACCUUCGGGCCUUGCGCUAUCAGAUGAGCCUAGGUCGGAUUAGCUAGUUGGUGGGGUAAUGGCUCACCAAGGCGACGAUCCGUAACUGGUCUGAGAGGAUGAUCAGUCACACUGGAACUGAGACACGGUCCAGACUCCUACGGGAGGCAGCAG
rnacentral:rRNA from 1 species